rnacentral:tRNA from 1 species
GGCGGAUGUAGCCAAGGGGAUCAAGG